rnacentral:rRNA from 1 species
CCUACGGGUGGCAGCAGUGAGGAAUAUUGGUCAAUGGACGAGAGUCUGAACCAGCCAAGUAGCAUGAAGGAUGACUGCCCUAUGGGUUGUAAACUUCUUUUAUAUGGGAAUAAAACAGGGUAUGCAUACCCUCUUGUAUGUACCAUAUGAAUAAGGAUCGGCUAACUCCGUGCCAGCAGCCGCGGUAAUACGGAGGAUCCGAGCGUUAUCCGGAUUUAUUGGGUUUAAAGGGAGCGUAGGUGGAUUGUUAAGUCAGUUGUGAAAGUUUGCGGCUCAACCGUAAAAUUGCAGUUGAAACUGGCAGUCUUGAGUUCAGUAGAGGUGGGCGGAAUUCGUGGUGUAGCGGUGAAAUGCUUAGAUAUCACGAAGAACUCCGAUUGCGAAGGCAGCUUACUGGACUGCAACUGACACUGAUGCGCGAAAGUGUGGGUAUCAAACAGGAUUAGAUACCCUUGUAGUC